rnacentral:lncRNA from 1 species
ACAUUCUGGGAGCAGUUUUGUCAUGUUUGAGCAAGUUUCCAUGAAUGUUUCUUAAUAUAAUACCAGGAUAUGUCAGCUCUGUCUUAUAUUUGCAAUGACUCUUAUUUUCUUCUUAAUUAAACACAGAAGCUGCUGAUCUGAGGACAAAAAUAGAAUCUGAUGAAGUCUGAAUUUUUUCCCAGAAAAUAUUCUGUCUUUGCCUCCAGAUGUCAAAAGUUACACAUGAGUACAGCUCACACAGGGAAAGGGGAAAACAGCAACCUCUUGAGCUGGAGCCUUAGGCUAGAAAAGAUCACUGAUUACCCACCUGUUCCCCCUGGAUACUAGGGCUUCAAUCCAGAAGGUGCUGUGAUGAAGUGGCUUCAGCAAAAUAUUACCUGAGACAUCCUGAUCCAUUAUGAGAACGGCAGCAGCAGGAUUUGGCCUGGGGAUGGAACAAAGGGACCCCCUGCUGUAGAGCAAGGGAUGCAGCAUCCUCGUGGCUGUUCACAUACCAUUGCACUGGGAUAUGUCUCUCUUCACUCUCCAUUUCCCACCCCACAAAAACCCCAUCGCCUGCCUUAUGUGAGAAUUGGAACCAUAAAAAUAAAACAAAGAUGUCUUCUUAUGUAUGAUAAUUAAUGGGAACAAAAUGUCUUGGAUGAAAUAUUACUGGCAAAACAAAGCAUAACCAGAUGUUGUGCAAUGCAAGACCCAACAUAAAGUAAUGAAGAACUCCACUGAGUCAGACGUGUCUACUUGAAAAAUGUUUACUUUGACAAUCAAAUGAAAAAGUAAAAAAUAUAUAGAUGCAAAGACUGCUUUUCAGGAAAACAGUGGGUUCUUUCCCCAGAGCUCUAAAAAGUUUAGAUAUUGUAGCCAAAACGUCGUAAAAUAUGAUUUUGUUUUCUGCUUUUUUUCCCCAGGGAGAAGGGAAUUUUAAAGAAGAGAUUGCAUCAAUAAAGAUUCUUUUAGCAUUAUUUUUAUCAUUAUAAAAA